AUGAAAAAGACUUAGCACAAUUGAAUGCUAAUGCUAUGAACAUACUAUAUUGUGCUAUCCAUGAAACUAUAUUUAAUAAGAUUUCUGCAUGCUUAUCUGCUAAAGAAAUCUGGGAUACUUUAAAAAAUAUUUAUGAUAAAUCUCAGAUUAGCUCACAUGUGCUUCAAUUACAUACUAACAGUGAGACUGCAGAAUCUCCC
rnacentral:lncRNA from 1 species